UAGUUGAUCAUGGCUCAGAACGAACGCUGGCGGCAUGCCUACCACAUGCAAGUCGAACGAAGCCUUCGGGCUUAGUGGCGCACGGGUGCGUAACGCGUGGGAAUCUGCCCUUAGGUACGGAAUAACUCAGGGAAACUUGAGCUAAUACCGUAUAAUGACUCCGGUCCAAAGAUUUAUCGCCUGAGGAUGAGCCCGCGUCGGAUUAGCUAGUUGGUGAGGUAAAAGCUCACCAAGGCGACGAUCCGUAGCUGGUCUGAGAGGAUGAUCAGCCACACUGGGACUGAGACACGGCCCAGACUCCUACGGGAGGCAGCAGUGGGGAAUAUUGGACAAUGGGCGAAAGCCUGAUCCAGCAAUGCCGCGUGAGUGAUGAAGGCCUUAGGGUCGUAAAGCUCUUUUA
rnacentral:rRNA from 1 species